AUUAAUAUUUCCUCUUGUUAUUGAUGUGGAUCAUUAAGAAACAAUGGACUCUUAUGAUAUCCCAUCCCAGUACGAUGAUAUCAUGAAGACUAUUAAAUACCAGUGGAGCCUUAGUGGUGAAAACAGUUUUCGAGAUGGCAGCAAGUCCAUUACUGAUAGAUCAGCAAAUGGAAUUAAUGGGAAAGAAAGCGAGACAGCUCAUGAACAUCAGGAAUAUUGUUGUGAAUUAUGAAGAUGAGCAACAUCUACAAUACUUGCUAUACACCGUGUAACAUGUGUCCCUGGACAUUGGGACUGCAAUGACCAAACUCGGGAAUAUUGGAUACAGAGUCAAAACAACAUGAUAUUCUUCCUCCAUGUGGCCUGUUUUAGAAUUCUCUUCACCAACCAGACCAUCCACCCAGAUGGGAAUUAGCAUCCUCCGGAAUUCUAUGUGGAAUUUAGAGGCUGUAAUUAUCCCAGGAUGUUCUUCUGAAAUUUACACGACAUCUCACUGGGGCUGAUUACCCACGAUGGCAAUGGGCUGCUCAAUCUUAAUGUUUUGUUGUUUCCUCUGUCCGAGAUGUUGUUCAAUAUCGAUUUAACUUUCAGAGAAUUGGAUGGUCAGAACUGCUCGCUGUCACCGGAGGGUAAUGCUUACCUGAAGUUUUCAACCAUCGCAGUCCUUGUGGGCGCCAAGACUUUAUCCCCAGUGCUAAUCAGGUUGAUUGGUUUGGACCGCAGGAUAAAGCAGGACGUGUCCCCAUGUGUGUGUAUGGCAGACAACGUGGCUCCUGUGAAUCCCAUCGAGUGAUGUGAAUGAUACCACUCAGAGAUUAUUCAUCCAGGGUGAAACCACAGGCUGACUCUGUGCUGUGUAAAACCUGAAAUCUACACAACCAGGCCCCACUUCUCCCAGAACAACAUGAAGUGUCUGCUGCUUUCUAGAUCCCUCACUUUACCCUUGCAUAGUUCACAAAUUCCAUUUUAAAUCAUCUUCAAACACACCGAUGGCCUCCAGUUAAAACACUUCCAUCGGUCUCAUACUAACAGAUAACAAGCCUCCCAGGAUUUCUUCCUUGUUUCUCUUGAUUUCUAACUAAGUUAAGCCGAGGUUCAGUCUGAAGGCCCAUUUUGGUUUCUAGUUCUCCUCUUGCUGACUAAAGUGGCUAUUAAAGGACAAGCUGUCUUUGA